CAAAAAUAGUUUAAAGGUUGAAAUUAUUAAUUAUAUGCCUAUACCUCUCAGUAGAUUUCUUCAACUGUAGUUGAGAACAACUUUCCUAUGAGAGCCCCAGUUAUUGUAGCAAUUGUUAACCCACAUCCAUUUGCAAGUUCAAUUUAGAACAGACAUCUAAAAUCAAAAGAUGUUUUAAACAGUGGAAGCGUCUAAGUAGGUGAAAUAUGCCGAGUAACUGAUGUUGUGUAUAGUUUGGAUUGUGUCAUGCAAUAUUUUUGUCAUGGAGCUUCUAAAAGUUGUCUGCAAUUGGAGCAUUAAAGCAUAUAAAACCACAUAUAGGUGAAAUUAACAAGUUUCAAUACAAAGCACUUAACAGCUUUGCAAAUUAUUUUUUGUUCAUCUAUGAUGUAAAAUGAACCUCCUCACUACUUAGAGAUAGGAAAAGAAGCAACAUGCACCAAGGAAG
rnacentral:lncRNA from 1 species